GAUGAACGCUAGCUACAGGCUUAACACAUGCAAGUCGCGGGGCAGCAUGGGGGUUGCUUGCAAUCCCCGAUGGCGACCGGCGCACGGGUGAGUAACGCGUAUCCAACCUGCCCUUCACCACGGGAUAACCCGGCGAAAGUCGGACUAAUACCGUAUGUUGUCCAUUGACGGCAUCCGAUUUGGACGAAAGGCUUGGCGGUGAGGGAUGGGGAUGCGUCCGAUUAGCCAGACGGCGGGGUAACGGCCCACCGUGGCUACGAUCGGUAGGGGUUCUGAGAGGAAGGUCCCCCACACUGGAACUGAGACGCGGUCCAGACUCCUACGGGAGGCAGCAGUGAGGAAUAUUGAUCAAUGGGCGUAAGCCUGAACCAGCCAAGUAGCGUGCAGGAUGACGGCCCUAUGGGUUGUAAACUGCUUUUAUGCGGGGAUAAAGUGGCCCACGUGUGGGCUUUUGCAGGUACCGCAUGAAUAAGGACCGGCUAAUUCCGUG
rnacentral:rRNA from 1 species